rnacentral:lncRNA from 1 species
GCGAAAACCAAGAAUAAUGCUUAUUUGGGCCCUUUUUUGGCCCUUAAUUCCUAAACUGUUGGAACCAAAACUCCCAAAAUCAAUCCCAACCUUCCUUUUGUGGUCAUAAACCUUGUGUCAAAAUUUCAUAGAUUUCUAUUUACUUAAACUAAAGUUAUAGUGCGAAAACCAAGAAAAUGCUUAUUUGGGCCCUUUUUGGCCCCUAAUUCCUAAAAUGUUGGGACAAAACUCCCAAAAUCAAUCCCAACCUUCCUUUUGUGGUCAUAAACCUUGUGUUAAAAUUUCAUAGAUUUC